UAUAUGCUGAUAUUGUGCACCCCUUCCUUCACCCAUUUCCAGGAACUGAAGACAAUAUGGAACCUUGUUUUCUGACCAUGAGAAUAGCAGUCGCUAACCCAGUGGGCUGCAUGUCAACAUGCCAUGCGGUGUGGGUGGGGGAAGACUCCCAGAGGUCUGCCAGCUUUGUGGCCAGCCUACAAUGGGAGCCACUAUGAUGUGCAGGAACCCAGAAACCUGAAAUGCUCCCAACUGGCUGGAAAUCUCAGCUUCCUGUGGUGCUCUGACACUCUCCUGUAUAGAAUUUCAACAUCUUCUGAGAUUUGAAGACACUUGAUGGAAAAUGUUGUAGAGAGUUCACACCAUCCAUAGUCAUUGUACUGGGAGAGAGAAGGAAGCAAAUGGGCAGGUAUGUGUUUGAGUGUAUGUAUGUGCACCUGGGGUGUGCAGGAGCCUGCAGAGGUCAGAAGAGGGUGUCAGAUACCCUGGAACUGCAGUUACAUACCUGGUCAUGGGACACCAUGAAGGUCCUGCGAAUUGAAUUUGGUUCCUCUGGAAGAGCAGCCAACACUCUAAAUGCUGAGCCUUUGCUCCAUUGCUGCUGCACAUAUUUUCUUCAUCAACAUCUGUCAGGAACAUUGAUUACGGGCUUCCGCAUGGUUUCCAGUGACAGCACAGACCACAAACAUGCCAUCCAGCUACAGAAGAAACAAAGACCCAGACAAGGCCCUCAGAGGCAGCCUGGACCACUAGCAUCAACAUGGCCUCAGGACGUGGAACUUUCAUCUUAUAUCAGACCACAACGGAAUGAAGCUGGACAUCAAUAGCAACGUAUAAUACAGAAAGUACACAAACUCAUAGUGACUAAACAACACACUGCUGAGCUGUGCUAAGUAAGAAAUCAAGAAAGAAAUACAAAAGGAAUUCAAGAACUGCAUGAAAAUAAAAAC
ensembl:lncRNA